AAACACUGGAGGAGGUACGACUGUGUGUUUCAGCUCUCUGGCAUCAAGGAUAUCAUCACCACACUGGACAAAGCAGUGAUCAGAACCAAUGGAGAUUACUACAUCUGUACAAGACCUGAGGAAACCAACACACAUCAGAGUUGCAGUGAUUGUUGAAUUUGUUUUCCUUCUAAUUGCUGUCUGUUUUAUCAUGUUCAAAACAGUUUCACAAAGUGCUGAGAGGAACGAACAAGUUGAAGCUAAGAAUCAGAUAACAAAUCAACGUGCCGAGAGUCAAAGUAGUAGUAGUCUAAUUUCAGAAGACUCCAAGAGUAAGAGUAAGAGUAAGAGUAAGAGUAAGAGUAAGAGUAGGUACCCCUCAUAUGAAAUAAUUACAUUAAUUCUUUAA
rnacentral:lncRNA from 1 species